rnacentral:tRNA from 1 species
UCCCUCGUGGUGCAGUGGUUAGCACUUGGCAUUUUCAACACCAAUGCCUUGAGGACAGGUUCAAUCCCUGGUGGGGGAA